ACAUUUUUGUCGAGCCUGCGACUUUUGUCGCAGAAAGCUCGACAUAGGGAUAGUGAUCCGGCGGCGGCGGCGGCUACGGCGGCGGCGGCGUUAGCUAACUUCUUAAAAGCUUUAUAUUUUAGAAGGUGGAAGGUCUGGAUGCUUCAUACUUUGUAUAUGGAUGCCUCAUGUUACGAAGUUUCCGUCAGUCACAUGUCCAAUGUCCUUGACCUCAUUUUCAUGGUUCAGUGACUACUUGAAAAAAAAGUUAAGAUUUUUUGUAAUGUUAGAUUCUCUCUUAUUAUAAGUAAUAGGAUAACUAUAUUUGGUAUGUGCAUACCUUGCAAGGUCCUCAUGCCCGUCAGACAGUUUUCACUUGACCUCGACCUCAUUUCAUGGAUCAGUGAACAAGGUUAAGUUUUGGUGGUCAAGUCCAUAUCUCAGAUACUAUAAGCAAUAGGUCUAGUAUAUUCGGUGUAUGGAAGGACUGUAAGGUGUACAUGUCCAACUGGCAGGUGUCAUCUGACCUUGACCUCAUUUUCAUGGUUCAGUGGUCAAAGUUAAGUUUAUGAGUUUUGGUCUUUUCUUCUAAUACUAUAUGCAAUAGUUCAACUAUAUUUGGUAUGUGCGUACCUUGCAAGGUCCUCAUGCCCUUCAGACAGUUUUCACUUGACCUCGACCUCAUUUCAUGGAUCAGUGAACAAGGUUAAGUUUUGGUGGUCAAGUCCAUAUCUCAGAUACUAUAAGCAAUAGGUCUAGUAUAUUUGGUGUAUGGAAGGACUGUAAGGUGUACAUGUCCAACUGGCAGGUGUCAUCUGACCUUGACCUCAUUUUCAUGGUUCAGUGGUUAUAGUUAAGUUUUUGUGUUUUGGUCUGUUUUUCUUAUACUGUAUGCCAUAGGUCUACUAUAUUUGGUGUAUGGAAUGAUUGUAAGGUGUACAUGUCUAGUGGGCAGGUGUCAUCUGACCUUGACCUCAUUUUCAUGGUUCAGUGGUCAAAGUUAAGUUUUUUCAGUUUUGGUCUUUUUUUCUAAUACUAUAUGCAAUAGUUCAACUAUAUUUGGUGUAUGGAAAUGUUUUAUGAUCUAUAUGUCAGUCACGCAGGUUUUAUUUGACCUUGACCUCAUUUUUACGGUUCAUUGCUCAGUGUUAAGUUUUUGUGUUUUGGUCUGUUUUUCUUAAACUAUAAGCAAUAGGUCAACUAUAUUUGUUGUAUUGAAGAAUUGUUAGCUGUACAUGCCUGCCUAGCAUGGUUCAUCUGACCUUGACCUCAUUUUCAUGGUUCUUUGGUCAAUGUUUAGUUUACUUGGUUAAUGUUAAGUUUAUGUGACAGUUGUAAUAAAGCUUUAUAUUUAGGACUAUCAACAUAAUAUCAAUGAUUAGUAAAGAAGGCGAGACAUUUCAGCGUGUGCACUCUUGUUAAAA